rnacentral:rRNA from 1 species
AGUCGAACGAUGAACCUCCUUCGGGAGGGGAUUAGUGGCGAACGGGUGAGUAACACGUGGGCAAUCUGCCCUGCACUCUGGGACAAGCCCUGGAAACGGGGUCUAAUACCGGAUACUGAUCAUCUUGGGCAUCCUUGGUGAUCGAAAGCUCCGGCGGUGCAGGAUGAGCCCGCGGCCUAUCAGCUUGUUGGUGAGGUAACGGCUCACCAAGGCGACGACGGGUAGCCGGCCUGAGAGGGCGACCGGCCACACUGGGACUGAGACACGGCCCAGACUCCUACGGGAGGCAGCAGUGGGGAAUAUUGCACAAUGGGCGCAAGCCUGAUGCAGCGACGCCGCGUGAGGGAUGACGGCCUUCGGGUUGUAAACCUCUUUCAGCAGGGAAGAAGCGCAAGUGACGGUACCUGCAGAAGAAGCGCCGGCUAACUACGUGCCAGCAGCCGCGGUAAUACGUAGGGCGCGAGCGUUGUCCGGAAUUAUUGGGCGUAAAGAGCUCGUAGGCGGCUUGUCGCGUCGGUUGUGAAAGCCCGGGGCUUAACCCCGGGUCUGCAGUCGAUACGGGCAGGCUAGAGUUCGGUAGGGGAGAUCGGAAUUCCUGGUGUAGCGGUGAAAUGCGCAGAUAUCAGGAGGAACACCGGUGGCGAAGGCGGAUCUCUGGGCCGAUACUGACGCUGAGGAGCGAAAGCGUGGGGAGCGAACAGGAUUAGAUACCCUGGUAGUCCACGCCGUAAACGGUGGGCACUAGGUGUGGG